UACAGUACGCUCACAAAGGAUGCUGUGACGCACCAGGAUCGCAUCUGUCAAACACUCGCUUAAUUACACUCGCACUCACACACACUUAGAUCGCUAACGCACCUGUCUGAAGCUAGCUAGCAGGUGCACGAACACAAACAAGAAGCAAAAUAUGCGCUCAAAAGUUCAAUUAAGCACGCGAAACCACACGAUCUCCGAUGAUACUGCAGGUGCUGCAAUCGGAUCUGAUACGGGAAGCCUCAGAAAGUGAGACGUUUAACACAUACACAGGCACACAUGAGCGCGGACAUGAUGAAAUAAGAACAGGGUGGACACCACGCGGGCUUGAUCUUUAACGUUAUUCGUCCCAGGAGAAAAUUCAGCGUUUGGUAAAAACUGGAGGAAAUUGGACACAUAAUUGGGAUUUGGGUUUCAUAUUUGCAAUUUCCUUUCGUUCGUAGUCCUUCCUGCUGCUUCCAAGGGUAAGCAGA